UCCCCAGCGCCUCCCGCAGCGGGAGCGGUGCGGGGAAAAGGCGACUCGGCCGCGUUUCCAGCAUUAAAAUUUAAUGCGAGUUGCAGCAUCCUCCUGCGCUGUAGGUAGGGCCGGGGGGGCCGGGGGCUGCUGGAGGAGGAGGAGGAGUUUGCUCGGCCGCCUCUUCCUCGGGGAUGCUCCGGGAAAGCUCCAGCACAGCACAAAGGAGCGGCGCGGCGGGCAGGAACCAGCGGAACCGGAGCCCCCCGGCCCCAGCGCAGCCCCCCGGGAGCAGAAUCCUCAUCAAGGAUAGGGAUCCUGCCAGGUAAAUGGAUUCUUGCCUGAUUUUCAAUGCUCCUGGGAGGAUCUGUAGGCAAAAUGCUGUUUUACUCAAACAGCUAAAGCUGAUGAUCCUAGGCGGGGGUUCGAGGCGAGGCUGGGGCCAGCAGCCCCAGGGCACAGCCCAGCCCUUCCUCCCCCGCUGCCCAGUUAACCUGGCAGAUGCUCUUCUUGCGGAGCCAUUUUCUCUCCCUCAUUGUCUCGCAGCCUUUUGUGUGUGCGGGUAAGUCCUGCCCUGGGAGCCAGGAGGAGCCCAGAAAUAAUCCGAUUUUCAGGCGUUGUGGGUUUGCAAGGAGCCUUUCACACCUCCCUCUUCUGCCGGGCUGCCCACCCCAGAGCUGCAGACAAAGGCAGCGGUGCCUGGCAUCCCUGCAGCAGCAGCAGAGCCUGGGCACUGCUGGAUGGCAGAGAGGCUCGGGCAGCGCUGGCAGGGCACAGGGCCGGGCUGUCUGCCCACCCUGCUGGGAUCUGGGGGGCCAGGGUGUGUGGAUGCCACAUCCCAGAGACCGUCUCUUUAGGAUCUCUCGCCUGUUGUGCCCUCAUCUUCCUGCUCCUGCCCGCAGUGGAGCUUGUGCUCCUUCCCUCCCUCUCUCCCCACUCGAGGAGGGGGUUGAGCCCCAUUUAAUUCGGGUGUCCAGCCCCCACAAAGGGCCACUGCAUGUGCCACCCACACGUGUGGCAGAGGCAGCUCAAGCUCACGCCCAGGACGAAUGUUGAGGUGAGUCCUGCCUGCACAAAAUGGUUUUUCCCUCCCUGUCCCCUGGGAUGUGCUCUGUGCCCAGGCCAGAGAGGCCACCCUGCCCCAGCACGGGCACCUCCUGCUCGGAUCCAUCUGCCAGAUGCUCCUUCCUGCAGCUGCGGUCCCCACAGCAGGGACUGUCCUGCCUGUGGUGACAAUGAGCCUGUGGUGACAAUGAGCGUGUGGUGACAAUGAGCCAUGGGAAGCAGGAGUGUCUCUGCAGCUGAACUGCAGAGUCAUCACGCCCCGCUCCCCUGGGACCUGCUGCUGUCCCGGUUUGCCCAGGCAGGCAGGGCAGGGCAGGGCAGGGCAGGGCAGGUCACAGACAUGGGCUGGCUGCUGGCACCGGCCACGUGUCCCCAAAUCCCUGAGGAGAUGGAGCAGCACCCACCACAGCGUGGCUGUGACCGCCCCUUGCCCCAGUUUAACCAGUGCCUGUGCCACCACAGGGUCCCAGUGAUGCAGCUUUACCCCACGGCAGGGGCAGGGGCGGAGGUGGCAGCAGAAGUGACGCUGGCAGUGCCAAUCAGGGGUUACAGCAACAAGCAGGGACAGUCUGGGGCAUUGCCACCAUUUCUGGUGUGGUGGUCCCAAUGCCCCCCUGUGCCUGGUUCAGCUCCUUUGCCCUGCAAGGGGACAGGGACAGGAAGGUCUGUGCCCAACCCUCCUGCCAGCUCGGCUGGGCUGUGCCUGAGGACGGGGCCCUGUUUGUCCCCCUUGCUGCGUUGGUUGUUUCUCUUGCAGCUGCUAAUGACUGACCUGAGGUCUGUUCACACAGUCCCCUCGCAGAGCCUCGUGGAGCAGGGGACAUUGCACAGCACUCCUGCAGCUGCUGACCACAGUGCCACCACCCCAGGGGCACGGCCCAGCUCCUGCUUGGCCAGACUGACCAUGCCCAGGAGCUGCCAUCACAGCCAGCACACGAUGCCAGAGCCAGGCUGGCCCCAGCAGAGCGCCCUGGUACCCAGUGCCGUGGUGUGGAGCCACCAGCCCGGCCACUGCGGGGGACACAGCCCGGGAGACUGCGGUGGUGACACCUGAGGACACGGGGCUGUGCGUGCACGCCGUUUUCUGCAAGGUGCUGGGGUGUCCUUGCCUCCCACUGCUCCCCCAGGCCUGUCUCCUUCCCUGAGCACAGAGGAGGGAGAAGGAAAAGGGAGUGGGGACAGAGCUGUGCCAGCUGCUCAUGGUGACACCAUGGCCAGAGCCCAAAGGGGCUCUGUUUGUCCCCACUGAUCCUGCCCUUCUCUCUGGCUGUUGGUGAAGUCCUGGAGCUUUCUGAAACACCUGGUGGUGUGUGGAGCAUCCUGGAGCUUGGAGAGGAGCAUGGGCAGAGAAUCCUCCUGCCAUGGCCUCUGUGGUGCCCUGGAAGCAGGUGGGACCCGUCCUGGCCAAGCAGCCACCCAGACCCGUGUCCCCACACAGGCAGGACGGGGGUGCUGGGGGCUGGGGGCUGGGGGCAGACACAGCUCCUGGCAGGGGUUACAGCCCUGAAGUCCAAACUAGAAAAGCGUCCUCCUGGGGACCAGAGAGGCUCAUGCUGUGGGAGGAGGUGACCCAGAGGGACACAAGGCAGAGGCUUUCCUGAGUGCCCCAUCCCAGCCCUGUUUUUUGGGGCAUGGUGCUCCUGUGUGAGCACUGCUCAGCCCCAUGGGGAGGCAGCUCCCGAUGGGGAGGGGGUAAGCUGUGGGUCACCUUUCCUCUGCUCCAUGGUGGUUUUCCCUGCUGGAUCUCUUGCUCCCUGCACGUGCAGUGGGAGCUUGCUGCAGUCCUGGAGCAGUUGUUGUGGCCUCUGCUUCUCCCAGCUCCUUCAGAGCCCUUCAGGCACUGCUGGGACUGUGUCCUCCAUGCAUCCCUCUCACCUUCCCCAGCCCAGGGGUGGGAAGUACCUGUUGUGAGGGGCCUCUGGUACCUCCCUGGCAGGAUCAGAGGAGCAGGUGCCUGCUGAGCAUUUCAUCCCGGGACAGCUGAACUGGCUGAACCCUCCGCUAACACCUUCCCAAAUGUCAAAGCCCAAAAACGCCUCCUGCUCUUGUGAGCCAGAGCCCUGCUGCUGAUGGGCCUGGCUCUGCAUGCUGCCACUAUUAACCUACUAACCUGCUGGGACCCCUGUGCCCUCCCUGGGGCCACCACGGCCCCUGGCACACGGACUAACCCACUAACCAGCCCAGAGCAUGCCCUACUAACCCACAGCAGCCCUGCCUCGUGCCCACUAACCACGGCAGCAGCGCUGCCUUUAAAGGGGAACAGAAAAGCUGCAAAAGGGCUUUGCAAGUGCCAGGUGGCAGUGCCAGGCUGCACAGGCAGGGACAGGCACGGGCAGCCCUGGAUGAGGGCAGGAGAGUGGAUUGGCUGCCCAGCACUGGGUAGGAGUGCUGCUGGGCAGCUCCUGCUCAUGCAGACAGCCCCUGUCGUGGGCAGGAGAGGGGAGUGCUGGUCCCUGGGCAGGACAGGGGAGCAGCAUCCCCUGGCCCGGGCAGCCCUCAGCAGCACAAGGAGAGAGUUUCUCCCACACGCCCUGCCCAGCUCUGCCUGUGGAGCCUGUUGCUGACUAGGAGCCUAAAACGGUUUUAUCAGCAGAAGCUUUUCAGUUCCUUUUUAAGCCAGUAGAUCUCUGUUACUAACACAUUCCUGAACUGAAUUAAACAAACUAACCCUUGCUGCUUUUCUCUUCAUUUCUCUUCCAGUGUGUGUGUCCUCUAAGGCAGACCAGUGCCCUGCUUCUGUUACUAACCUGUACUUCUGUUUCUACUGUACUAAUCCUCCCUGACUGUUUCUCUCUUGCUACUAACAACUCUCUUUGCACUUUGCCUCUCGGGUGCUGUUUGCCAUGACAAGUGACAGUGGCUCCUCCUGGACUUACCCACCUGCAGCACUCGAUUUUUCGUGCUGCUGAGCAUCCCUGGCUUCCAUUUGGUACCAUGGGAAAGAAGAUGCCCAGGCUGGGGCACUAUGAAUAUUUCCCUCUUGGAAAAAUUCAAAUUUGUUUUCCAACAAAUUUGACGUGGCACGAUGAGGAAAAGAGGCUGAGUGGCAACAGGACAGUACAAACCCAUUAAUAAUGGCUGUAGAGGCCCAGCAAACCCCAUUUGCAAAGAGAUUAAUCCACGGAGCAAAGGCUGCCAUGAGCCUGAGCUUGGGGCUCUCCUGAGGCCUCAGGUCACUGUCAUGGGGAAUGUUCCCGUGCUGCUCCCAGCAUUGGUGCUCCUGGCCUCCUCUCUUCACCCCCCUGUCUCUCCACAGUUUCUCUUGUGCUGGUGCAUGUGGAAGCUGCUGCUGGCAGCGUGGCCCUGACUAACUCAGCUCCGUGUCACCGCCGGGUCCCACUGCAGGGAGUCCCGGCCCCAGCCAGGGACAGGGCUGGGCACUGGGGGUCACAGGGGCUCUGCCAUCAGGUGAUGGGGGCACAGCCUGGCCUUUCUGUCUGUCUGUCAGCCAUAAAUGGACAUCCCCAACCUCUGCAGGGACCGUGCCAGGGUGGAGUGGGUUUGGCACAUGGCGAGGCACUGGUGGCAUUCAGAGCAGGGGACAGGGCUGAGCCCUGGGUGCCAGCAGAGGAUGGUGGCUCUGUGCUGCUGGCCCACAAGCACAUCCCAGGCUGGGGCUGUUGGGGGACAAGGCACCCCUCAGCCAAAGGCCACGGCAGCUCUGUCAGGGGGGCAGAACCAGACAGGGUCCAGCUCUGGCUGCUCUCUCUUGGCUUUGCCUUGUGCUCUUUGCUGCCACGGCCAGGGCUUCCCCAGAGCACCUGUGGCCACUGGCUGAUGUCACUGUCACCCCAUGGCAGCUCUCCUGCCUGCACUGGAAGGCAGAGCCGGACGGGGUCCCCUGGGUGGCCCCACGACACUGCCACCUCCCCUGGGCAUCCCUGCUAGGCACUAACCCCAGCCUGCCACUUUACUGGGGGGGCUCUCUCAGGCUCUUGGGGUCCCCUCCCCACUCAGCUCUGUGUCUGUCCAACCUCCACCUUAUCCCCCCAACCCCCCAAAGGCCCUUCCUCUGCACAGCUGCCACCAGGAUGGAUUUUAGGGCUGAUGCUCCUGUGCUUGAUGGAAGGGGGGACAGGGCCCUGCUGUGGGCAGAGUGAGGAGCACAGGGACAGGAAUGGGACAGGAAUGGGACAGGAAUGGGACAGGAAUGGGACAGGAGGACAAGCCAGGUCAGUCCCAGGGUGGGUGGGUUCAGGGCUCCUGCACAGGACAGGAGCAUUACAAGUUGUCAGAGCCCACCACUUUGAGGGACUCUCCUCCCUGCCCCACAGACCCCUCCUCUGCUCCAGAGCAACCCCCCUGUACCCAGGGGGACCUCCCCAGGCUGGUCACCCAGGGGAGACGUGGGACCACCUCGAUGGCAGAGGAUGGAGCUGGCAAAUGUCACCCUGCACAGCCUGCACAGUGGGGACAGGGCACCAGUGCCCCCCUCAGAGCAGGGCAGGAGGGCAGAGAGGCUCCCCCAACCACCCAGGCUCCUCCUUUGCUCUGCUCCCGCACCUCAGGGCUCCCUGUCCCUGCUCCCCAAUCCCCGUGGCUGGCAGGAGUUGAUCCCUCUGUCUGUCCAUCCCCCUUUGCUGCCGUCCCCAGAGCUGUGUGGAGAGGGGCACCAUGUGCAGACCCCCUUCCAGCUGUGGUGGUGGACGUGUGGCCAGGGCACCCCAGCAGUGCCACGGGCAGGGGCGCAGCCCUGGGGGCACUGUCCUGCCCAGGGUGCUCCAGCUCAAGCUGCCCCUGCUCUGCGGGCACAGCCUCGCUGGCUGGGCACUGGCCAGGAGCCCCAUAAGUCCCCAUAGCCCUGAGGAUGUCCCCAGAGCCCUGAAGAUGUCCCCAGAGCCCCGAGGAUGUCCCCAGAGCCCUGAGGAUGUCCCCACAGCCCCGAGGAUGUCCCCACAGCCCCGAGGAUGUCCCCACUGCCUGUAAUGUCUACUGUGAACAUGGCAAGUGUGCAACCA